GCCUUUGUGGUGUAAUGGUCAGCACACUGAGCCGGUAUUUCAGAGGUCCGUUGUUCGAUUCCCGGUGAAGGCG
rfam:Stegodyphus mimosarum contig21084, whole genome shotgun sequence.